AACGAACGCUGGCGGCAUGCCUAACACAUGCAAGUCGAACGAAUCCUUCGGGUUUACUGGUGCACUCGUCCGUAACGCGUUGGAACCUGCCUUUAAGUCUGGCAUAACUCCCCGAAUGGCGUGCUAAUACCGGCUCUUAUCCUCCAUCCGAAGAUUUAUCGCCUUUGGAUGGGCUUGCGUUGUAUUAGCUUGUUGUUAGCGUAAAAGCCUUCCACUGCUUGGUUCCAUAGCUGGUAUGUGAGGAUGAUCAGCGACACUGGUACUAAGACACGGUCCAGAAUACUACGGGAGGCAGGAGUGGGGAAUAUUGGACAAUGGGCGAAAGCCUGAACCAGCAAUGUCGGGUGAGUGAUGAAGGCCGUAGGGUUGUAAAGCUAGUUUACCCGGGAUGAUAAUGACAGUACCGGGAGAAUAAGCACCGGCUAACUCCGUG
rnacentral:rRNA from 1 species